rnacentral:lncRNA from 1 species
GUUCGUUCCAGCUCAGAAAAUUGUGAGUGACAUUGGAUUGAUGGAGGAAGAGACCGUUUGUAAUGUUCGGGAAAUGGACACGGAUCCACAAGAAAUUCCACAGUAUAUGGCGGAAAUGUAUAGUAAUGGAAGAGAAAACCUCACAGAGAGUGAAGGUGAGAGCUUUAAGGAAAUCCUGCUGAAGUACAGAGAUAUUUUCUAUGAUCCAGCAGGAGAACCAGGAAAGACAACAAUUGGUAUGCAUAGUAUCAAAUUGAAAGAAGAAAUUCCAGUAAAGGAACCCCCAAGACGAGUACCUCUUUAUAAA